rnacentral:lncRNA from 1 species
GUUUUGGGAGAAAGGGAGAGAAGAGCAAGUUAGGCCAAAGAACCACUUUUGCUGUGCAUUUGUCUGCAAUUUCUAAGGUGAUCCUGAGUAGUCGGUGGUGGCUCAAUGUCGUGUCUAGGGCUCUGAUACGUGGGAUGGGAAUUACUAUUUAUAUUAUUGUUGUUUUUCCUUCCUAUGUAUCAAUUUUUGGAACUUGAUGAUGUGGCCCUUUUGAUGGUUGAUAUUGUUGUUAGGCUUAUGCCAAGAUAUUAUGUUGGAGGUUUUUAACCGUUGUUGUGGUUAUUUGAAAUGCAAACUUUCCGCUGCAUAAUUUUUGAGGUUAUGAAUGAUGUCGAUUUAAAUAGUUUUAUUUUCUAUUUAAGGAAUUUUGAAUUUGCAAUGUAGCAUGCC